GAUGAACGCUGGCGGCGUGCCUAAUACAUGCAAGUCGAGCGAACAGACGAGGAGCUUGCUCCUCUGACGUUAGCGGCGGACGGGUGAGUAGCACGUGGAUAACCUACCUAUAAGACUGGGAUAACUUCGGGAAACCGGAGCUAAUACCGGAUAAUAUAUUGAACCGCAUGGUUCAAUAGUGAAAGACGGUUUUGCUGUCACUUAUAGAUGGAUCCGCGCCGCAUUAGCUAGUUGGUAAGGUAACGGCUUACCAAGGCAACGAUGCGUAGCCGACCUGAGAGGGUGAUCGGCCACACAGGAACUGAGACACGGUCCAGACUCCUACGGGAGGCAGCAGUAGGGAAUCUUCCGCAAUGGGCGAAAGCCUGACGGAGCAACGCCGCGUGAGUGAUGAAGGUCUUCGGAUCGUAAAACUCUGUUAUUAGGGAAGAACAAAUGUGUAAGUAACUAUGCACGUCUUGACGGUACCUAAUCAGAAAGCCACGGCUAACUACGUG
rnacentral:rRNA from 1 species